rnacentral:tRNA from 1 species
AGUUAGUUGGCAGAACGGUUAUGCACCUCUUUCAUACGGAGUGACCACAGUGGUUCGAUUCCACUACUAACUA